rnacentral:rRNA from 1 species
AAUAUGCCCUUCUCUAAGGAAUAGCCUCUGGAAACGGAGAGUAAUACCUUAUACGCCCUUCGGGGGAAAGAUUUAUCGGAGAAGGAUUAGCCCGCGUUAGAUUAGGUAGUUGGUGGGGUAAUGGCCUACCAAGCCUACGAUCUAUAGCUGGUUUGAGAGGAUGAUCAGCCACACUGGGACUGAGACACGGCCCAGACUCCUACGGGAGGCAGCAGUAGGGAAUCUUAGACAAUGGGGGCAACCCUGAUCUAGCCAUGCCGCGUGUGUGAUGAAGGCCCUAGGGUCGUAAAGCACUUUCGCCAGAGAUGAUAAUGACAGUAUCUGGUAAAGAAACCCCGGCUAACUCCGUGCCAGCAGCCGCGGUAAUACGGAGGGGGUUAGCGUUGUUCGGAAUUACUGGGCGUAAAGCGCACGUAGGCGGAUUAGUAAGUUAGAGGUGAAAUCCCAGGGCUCAACCCUGGAACUGCCUUUAAUACUGCUAGUCUUGAGUUCGAGAGAGGUAAGUGGAAUUCCGAGUGUAGAGGUGAAAUUCGUAGAUAUUCGGAGGAACACCAGUGGCGAAGGCGGCUUACUGGCUCGAUACUGACGCUGAGGUGCGAAAGUGUGGGGAGCAAACAGGAUUAGAUACCCUGGUAGUCCACACCGUAAACGAUGAAUGCCAGACGUCAGCAAGUAUACUUGUUGGUGUCA